rnacentral:misc_RNA from 1 species
UCACACCUUGCGGUGGCAGUAUCACCAGAGUGCCCAGCAUAACCUGAUGGCAACUGACGACAGGGGUUGCGCUCGUUAUGGCACUUAAGCCGACACCUCACGGCACGAGCUGACGACAACCAUGCAGCACCUCCACAGCGGCCCCGAAGGGAAGGAGUGUCUCCACUCCAUGCAGCUGCAGUUCAAGCCCGGGUAAGGUUCCUCGCGUAUCAUCGAAUUAAACCACAUGUUCCUCCGCUUGUGCGGGCCCCCGUCAAUUCCUUUGAGUUUCACCGUUGCCGGCGUACUCCCCAGGUGGGAUGCUUAACGCUUUCGCUUGGCCACACGGCCCACAGGCCGAACAGCGAGCAUCCAUCGUUUACCGUGCGGACUAC